AGAGUUUGAUCAUGGCUCAGAUUGAACGCUGGCGGCAGGCCUAACACAUGCAAGUCGAGCGGAAACACAAGGGAGCUUGCUCCUGAGGUGUCGAGCGGCGGACGGGUGAGUAAUGCUUGGGAAACUGCCCAGUCGUGGGGGACAACCAUUGGAAACGAUGGCUAAUACCGCAUACGCCCUACGGGGGAAAGGAGGGGACUCUUCGGAGCCUUUCGCGAUUGGAUGUGCCCAAGUGGGAUUAGCUAGUUGGUGAGGUAAAGGCUCACCAAGGCGACGAUCCCUAGCUGGUUUGAGAGGAUGAUCAGCCACACUGGAACUGAGACACGGUCCAGACUCCUACGGGAGGCAGCAGUGGGGAAUAUUGCACAAUGGAGGAAACUCUGAUGCAGCCAUGCCGCGUGUAUGAAGAAGGCCUUCGGGUUGUAAAGUACUUUCAGCGAGGAGGAAAGGUUAGUAGUUAAUAACUGCUAGCUGUGACGUUACUCGCAGAAGAAGGACCGGCUAACUCCGUGCCAGCAGCCGCGGUAAU
rnacentral:rRNA from 1 species